UGUCAUGUGGUGAGGGAUUGCCCUACACUUGGGAGGAGUGCACCUCCAUAGACUGCUCAGCCACAACGUGCUCCUUGGAGUUCUCAGGCCAUAAUCACAGCUCCCGCUGCUAAUGCAGCUACCCAGCCAGCUAGAAGCAAAGGUCGAGGAGCCAGAGGUCGAGGAGGUAGAGGUCGCUCUCUCUCGAGAGUUAAGGCCAGAUAUUAUUAUAUUCCUGCUCGUACCAAGGAUGUUGCCUCCGCUUCUGUCAUUACAGGUAUUAUAAUGGUUAGUCAUAAAGAGGCAUCAGUUUUAUUCGAUCCAGACUCUACUACUCUUAUGUGUCUUCUUACUUUGAUAGGCAUUUGUGGACAGUCCGGGAUUCUUUGAGUUAUCCUGUUUAUGUUUCUACUGCCGUGGGAGAUUCUCUUGUUGUAGAAUGCAU
rnacentral:lncRNA from 1 species